UACGAAGGGGGCUAGCGUUGUUCGGAUUUACUGGGCGUAAAGCGCACGUAGGCGGACUAUUAAGUCAGGGGUGAAAUCCCGGGGCUCAACCCCGGAACUGCCUUUGAUACUGGGGAUCUCGAGUCCGGGAGAGGUGAGUGGAACUGCGAGUGUAGAGGUGAAAUUCGUAGAUAUUCGCAAGAACACCAGUGGCGAAGGCGGCUCACUGGCCCGGUACUGACGCUGAGGUGCGAAAGCGUGGGGAGCAAACAGG
rnacentral:rRNA from 1 species